AUUGAACGCUGGCGGCAUGCCUAACACAUGCAAGUCGAGCGAGCGGCGGACGGGUGAGUAAUGUCUGGGAAACUGCCUGAUGGAGGGGGAUAACUACUGGAAACGGUAGCUAAUACCGCAUACCAUCAGAUGUGCCCAGGUGGGAUUAGCUAGUAGGUGGGGUAACGGCUCACCUAGGCGACGAUCCCUAGCUGGUCUGAGAGGAUGACCAGCCACAUGGGAACGGAGACACGGUCAAGAGUCCGAAGGGAGGCAGCAGUGGGGAAUAUUGCGCAAUGGGCGCAAGCCUGAUGCAGCCAGGCCGCGUGUGUGAAGAAGGCCUUCGGGUUGUAAAGCACUUUCAGCGGGGAGGCGUUACCCGCAGAAGAAGCACCGGCUAACUCCGUGCCAGCAGCCGCGGUAAUAC
rnacentral:rRNA from 1 species